CCUACGGGUGGCAGCAGUCGAGAAUCAUUCACAAUGGGGGAAACCCUGAUGGUGCGACGCCGCGUGGGGGAAUGCAGGUCUUCGGAUUGUAAACCCCUGUCAUGUGGGAGCAAAUUAAAAAGAUAGUCCUACAAGAGGAAGAGACGGCUAACUCUGUGCCAGCAGCCGCGGUAAUACAGAGGUCUCAAGCGGGGUUCGGAAUCACUGGGCGUAAAGCGUGCGUAGGCUGUUUCGUAAGGCGGGUGUGAAAGGCGCGGGCUCAACCCGCGGACGGCACAUGAUACUGCGAGACUAGAGUAAGGGAGGGGGAACCGGAAUGCUCGGUGUAGCAGUGAAAUGCGUAGAUAUCGAGAGGAACACUGGUGGCGAAGGCGGGUGGCUGGACAUUAACUGACGCUGAGGCACGAAGGCCAGGGGAGCGAAAGGGAUUAGAUACCCUAGUAGUC
rnacentral:rRNA from 1 species